CUUCUUUUCUGGGCCAAUCCUACUUUUCAUUUACAUUUUAAAUCUUCUCAUCCCCCUUAAUAUUUUCUCUGACAACUGUUUUAUUGAAUUUAUCGAACUUUAUUAUUAAAUGGGGUUUUAGUUUUCUUUAUAAAGGACCAAUUCUCCUUCUGUUUAGGCUGUUUCUUGAUAUACUUGAGGGUGGGUGUGUUUCUAUAGCUUUGCAUAUUGAAUUGUAGGAAAAUAUGGGUGCUGAAAAUCAGAGUUUAAACAGAGAAUUUGGAGAAAAGGGGGUUGAAAAAAUAUAUGUUUCUGAAAAUAUUAAUGGAUUACAGUACACAAACACAAAAUCAGAGAGCUUUGUUGUGGAUAUGGAACGCAUAUCUCAUCUUGUGGAGAAAGAUAUGAAUGCAAAUUCAAGAAUUACUCUUCCUUGCUAGGGGCAAGCAUGCCUGAAAAGCCCAUGGUGGUAACAGCAGGAACAACUGAUCACUCCACACUACACACACAUAAUCAGAACACAACGGUGGCUGCCAGUAAUGGUGCGGCGGCCACCAGUGGUGCUACCGCCAUCGAUAGCAAAGGUGUUUCCCGGAGAUUCAGUUUCAGACGAUCUGCUUCGCCUUCUUGGACCGUUGAUCCCAGGAGGAUACUUAUUUUCUUUGCUACCAUAUCAAGUGUGGGAACAAUAGUAUUAAUCUAUUUCACACUAUCCAUCCAAUGGAGAAGAUAAAGCUUCUUACUGAUCUAUUCACAUACUAUCCAUUGCCAGUCUCAAUGGAGAAGACAACGUUUUCAGUUGACAGAAAAGACGUCGAAGAACAGUCUGCUCUCCUAAAAUGACAACGUUCUCAGUUGACAGAAA